GACGAACGCUGGCGGCGUGCUUAACACAUGCAAGUCGAACGGUAAGGCCCCAGCUUGCUGGGGUACACGAGUGGCGAACGGGUGAGUAACACGUGGGUGACCUGCCCCGCACUUCGGGAUAAGCCUGGGAAACUGGGUCUAAUACCGGCUAGGACCGCACCGUGAGGGUGUGGUGGAAAGUUUUUCGGUGUGGGAUGGGCCCGCGGCCUAUCAGCUUGUUGGUGGGGUAAUGGCCUACCAAGGCGGCGACGGGUAGCCGGCCUGAGAGGGUGGACGGCCACAUUGGGACUGAGACACGGCCCAGACUCCUACGGGAGGCAGCAGUGGGGAGUAUUGCACAAUGGGGGGAAGCCUGAUGCAGCGGCGCCGCGUGGGGGAUGACGGCCUUCGUGUUGUAAACUCCUUUCACCAUCGACGAAGGUUUUCUGACGGUAGAUGGAGAAGAAGCACCGGCUAACUACGUG
rnacentral:rRNA from 1 species